AUUGAACGCUGGCGGCAGGCUUAACACAUGCAAGUCGAGCGGAGAUGAGGUGCUUGCACCUUAUCUUAGCGGCGGACGGGUGAGUAAUGCUUAGGAAUCUGCCUAUUAGUGGGGGACAACAUUCCGAAAGGAAUGCUAAUACCGCAUACGCCCUACGGGGGAAAGCAGGGGAUCUUCGGACCUUGCGCUAAUAGAUGAGCCUAAGUCGGAUUAGCUAGUUGGUGGGGUAAAGGCCUACCAAGGCGACGAUCUGUAGCGGGUCUGAGAGGAUGAUCCGCCACACUGGGACUGAGACACGGCCCAGACUCCUACGGGAGGUAGCAGUGGGGAAUAUUGGACAAGGGGCGGAAGCCUGAUCCAGCCAUGCCGCGUGUGUGAAGAAGGCCUUUUGGUUGUAAAGCACUUUAAGCGAGGAGGAGGCUACCUAGAUUAAUACUCUGGGAUAGUGGACGUUACUCGCAGAAUAAGCACCGGCUAACUCUGUGCCAGCCGCCGCGGUAACAC
rnacentral:rRNA from 1 species